rnacentral:piRNA from 1 species
UCUCUCGAAAAAUGUAAAGAG